rnacentral:lncRNA from 1 species
UUUCUGUGCACAGUCUCGCCAGGGUCGCCUUCUUCGUGCACUCUGAUUAUUGAUCCAGCUGAACCAGUAGGAGCGCCGAGCUGCGCUUCCCUGGGGAUGGAGGGGGUGGGGAGAUGGGUAGGCUACGGUGAUGGUGAGGGGAGGGGAGAUUGAUAAACAUUAAGAGAUGGUUGUAGGGCGCUAUUCAGUACCCCGGAGCUGCCC